UUGCUCCUGGAAACAGAAAUCCCCAAUCAGCAGAACUUUUACAGCAUAAGCAGUGGCAAUGCAUGUUUCCUACAGUGCCCUGCCAAAGUAUCACAACCCUGACCUGGGGAGACCACCUUUAGGCCUGAGAGUGUAGCUUAAGCUCCAGGCUCAUUCACAGCCUGGU
rnacentral:sRNA from 1 species